rnacentral:lncRNA from 1 species
CAUACCAUAAGGAAUGUUUAUCGAAAUCAUGAUGCAUUCAUUUUCUCAAAACCAUGCAAUUGUUUUAGCUCUUUUAAACCCCUCAUGUAAACCUCACAUGAGUAAAUCACUUUACAAAAAUCCAUGCUCAACUAUGGUACCAAAGAAAUGGGAAAUAUAGCAAAAACUCACAAGUUAGCAAAAUAGACAAAAAGUUUCUCGCUGUAGCAAGAACCAGUUCUAGUGAAGGCCCUCAAACCCGAGAGUUUCUCGCUGCAGCGAAACAGAGCAACAAGAGAAAAGUUUCCCUUCACUCAACAAGAAGGCCAUCCUACUAAACCAACAAAAUCAACAUAAAACUCAUAAAAAUUCUCAAAGUGCAAUGUAUCAAAUUUCACAUAUAUGUCAACCAUAUAUCACAUUCAUGAGCUUUCAUUUUAUAAGUCUAGAUAUGCAUAAUUUGAUAGACAAACAUCAAUAUCAUCAUAAUCACACUUGGCUCAUGUACAUCCCCCUACAUCGUGCACAUAGCCGGCAUCAUCGUGUGCAUCCCCACACAUCGUGCACAAUCAGUGCCAUCGUGUACAUCCCCCCACAUCGUGCACACGGGCACUAUCAUCAUCCAUCUCUCACGCCACCAUCAUCACCGGCAUGUGCAUCCCCCCACAUCGUGCACACACACGGUUAUAGUCAUUAUACAUAAUAUCAUUCAUCAUGCACAACAUAUAUAUAUAUCAUCAUAUUGCAAUAAUGCAUGAAUCCAUAGCAAUCACAUAUCACAA